AGUGAACGCUGGCGGUAGGCCUAACACAUGCAAGUCGAACGGCAGCACAGUAAGAGCUUGCUCUUACGGGUGGCGAGUGGCGGACGGGUGAGGAAUACAUCGGAAUCUACUUUUUCGUGGGGGAUAACGUAGGGAAACUUACGCUAAUACCGCAUACGACCUACGGGUGAAAGCAGGGGAUCUUCGGACCUUGCGCGAUUGAAUGAGCCGAUGUCGGAUUAGCUAGUUGGCGGGGUAAAGGCCCACCAACGCGACGAUCCGUAGCUGGUCUGAGAGGAUGAUCAGCCACACUGGAACUGAGACACGGUCCAGACUCCUACGGGAGGCAGCAGUGGGGAAUAUUGGACAAUGGGCGCAAGCCUGAUCCAGCCAUACCGCGUGGGUGAAGAAGGCCUUCGGGUUGUAAAGCCCUUUUGUUGGGAAAGAAAAGCAGCAGGUUAAUACCCCGCUGUUCUGACGGUACCCAAAGAAUAAGCACCGGCUAACUUCGUG
rnacentral:rRNA from 1 species